rnacentral:rRNA from 1 species
AUGGCUGGGAGUAGCACGGAUGCAGCAACCAAGGAGAUGGAGGCAUUGCAUGUUGGGCAAACCAAGGAAACAGAUGAGAUUCUGAAAAAAGCGUCAGAUAGCAAUGGCGGGGCUCCUGGAGCUCAGUCCCCACCACCACCAGCAGAUGAUGAUGAGGCACAAGUGGAUGGUCCAUCUGAAGAUGGAGCAGGAGCUUCAGUGGCUGCGAAGAAGAAAAAGAAGAAAAGCAAGGCCAAAAAGAAGAAAGACCCCCAUCAGCAGACAGAUCCUCCAUCAAUCCCUGUGGAUGAGCUUUUCCCUUCAGGAGAUUUUCCUGAGGGAGAAAUCCAGGAAUAUAAGGAUGAUAAUUUAUGGAGAACAACUAGUGAAGAAAAGAGGGAACAGGAACGACUACAAAAACCAAUGUACAAUUCUGUUCGCCGAGCUGCAGAAGUCCAUCGACAGGUACGAAAGUACAUGAGGAGCAUUAUAAAGCCUGGAAUGCUAAUGAUGGAACUAUGCGAGACUUUGGAAAACAUGGUUCGGAAACUUAUCAAGGAGAAUGGACUGCAAGCUGGCAUUGCCUUUCCAACAGGAUGCUCGUUGAAUUGGGUCGCAGCUCACUGGACUCCAAAUUCUGGUGAUAAAACUGUACUACAAUAUGAUGAUGUGAUGAAGCUGGAUUUUGGGACACAUAUCGAUGGGCACAUAGUUGAUUGUGCAUUUACUGUCGCAUUUAAUCCCAUGUUUGAUCCGUUGCUGCAAGCAACGAGAGAUGCCACAAAUACUGGAAUCAAGGAAGCUGGAAUAGAUGCACGGCUUUGUGAUGUCGGUGCUGCAAUCCAAGAAGUCAUGGAGUCAUAUGAGGUUGAAAUUAAUGGGAAAGUUUUCCAAGUAAAAAGUGUGCGAAACCUCAAUGGACACAGCAUUGGACCAUACCAAAUCCAUGCUGGUAAAUCAGUUCCAAUUGUAAAAGGCGGAGAGCAAACAAAAAUGGAGGAGGGUGAAUUUUAUGCCAUUGAAACUUUUGGGUCUACAGUUUUACAGUUCAUAAGCACCAUUCUGUUCGCAGGAAAGGGAUUUGUGAGGGAGGACUUGGAAUGCAGUCAUUACAUGAAGAACUUUGAUGUUGGGCAUGUACCAUUGAGGGUAGCAAAAGCCAAGCAGCUACUGGGGACAAUCAACAACAACUUUGGAACACUUGCAUUUUGCCGCCGGUACUUGGACCGCAUCGGCGAGACCAAGUAUCUCAUGGCACUGAAAAAUCUAUGUGAUGUUGGCAUUGUUCAGGUAUGUGAAAUAGGAUACCACCAUUUCAAUGCCAAUGUCUAUCAAGACAUGGUUACUCACGGUUUCCUGACCUGUUUGCAGCCGUACCCGCCAUUGUGCGAUGUGAGGGGAAGCUAUGUGUCCCAGUUUGAGCACACCAUUUUGCUCCGGCCAACCUGUAAAGAAGUCAUAUCCAGAGGCGACGACUACUGA